CGUGCCAGCAGCCGCGGUAAUACGAAGGGGGCUAGCGUUGCUCGGAAUUACUGGGCGUAAAGGGCGCGUAGGCGGAUAUCUAAGUCGGGGGUGAAAGCCCGGGGCUCAACCUCGGAAUUGCCUUCGAUACUGGAUAUCUUGAGUUCGGGAGAGGUGAGUGGAAUGCCGAGUGUAGAGGUGAAAUUCGUAGAUAUUCGGCGGAACACCAGUGGCGAAGGCGACUCACUGGCCCGAUACUGACGCUGAGGCGCGAAAGCGUGGGGAGCAAACAGGAUUAGAUACCCUGGUAGUCCACGCUGUAAACGAUGAGUGCUAGUUGUCGGCAUGCAUGCAUGUCGGUGACGCAGCUAACGCAUUAAGCACUCCGCCUGGGGAGUACGGUCGCAAGAUUAAAACUCAA
rnacentral:rRNA from 1 species